AAGUUGCCUUUUCUGUUAAUGUACAGUGAACAUCUCAUAAUCAAGAAACAGUUUGUUCCAUGGACAUUGCCGUAUUCUUUAAAAGAUUGUGUUAAUGGUUGCUGAUUAUCCUGAAAUGAACGACAGAACUUACAUGUAAAUUCAUGACAAGUACAGUAGUAAUAAUUCUAAAGUAGGCUGAGGUCUGUAAAAACUCGGCUGAGAGUACUAAUACUAGUACAAAGUUAACAGCUCUACAUUUUUUUGUUUUUAUUUACUGAUUGUUUUAUGUUGUUUCUUUUAAUGAUCAAUUU
rnacentral:lncRNA from 1 species